GAUGAACGCUGGCGGCGUGCUUAACACAUGCAAGUCGAACGGAAAGGCCCAAGCUUUCUUGGGUACUCGAUUGGCGAACGGGUGAGUAACACGUGGGUGAACUGUCCUUCACUUCGUGAUAAGCCUGGGAAACUGGGUCUAAUACCGGAUAGGACCACAUGAUGGAUGGUGUGGUGUAGAGUAUUUCGGUGUGGGUUGAGCUCGCGGGCUAUCAGCUUACUGGUGGGGUAAUGGCCUACCAAGGCGUCUACGAGUAGCCGGCCAGAGAGGGUGUAAGACGGUCCAGAGUCUGAGGGGAGGCCGCGACACCGACGGGAGGGAGAAGGGGGGAAGCCUGACGAAGGAGCGCAAGCCGGGUGAUGAGGGGCCGCGGGGGGGAAAACGGUCUUAGUGUUGAAAACCCAUUUCGCUAGGGACGAAGCGUUAUGUGACGGUACCUGGAGAAGAAGCACCGGCUAACUACGUG
rnacentral:rRNA from 1 species